UACGUAGGGUGCAAGCGUUAAUCGGAAUUACUGGGCGUAAAGCGUGCGCAGGCGGUUAUGUAAGACAGAUGUGAAAUGCCCGGGCUUAACCUGGGAACUGCAUUUGUGACUGCAUGGCUAGAGUUUGGCAGAGGGGGGUAGAAUUCCACGUGUAGCAGUGAAAUGCGUAGAGAUGUGGAGGAACACCGAUUGCGAAGGCAGUUCACUAGGCCUGUAUUGACACUGAGGCACGAAAGCGUGGGAUCA
rnacentral:rRNA from 1 species